GUACCGCCAGCAUCCGAUCUGGCGCCCCUGCGAUGCCUGCGAUCCUGCGAUUGCUCAGAAGAACCAGGCAGGCGCGCUUCGCGCGUUAGAGCUGCUACAGCUGUACAUGUAGAGAGCUCUCUACCAUACUAGUACUAGUACGAGUACCGGAAUCGGUACUGAUCUCCAGGUACAAUGUGUGGUCAGU
rnacentral:rRNA from 1 species